rnacentral:rRNA from 1 species
GCCCUAGUAACGGCGAGUGAAGCGGCAACAGCUCAAAUUUGAAAUCUGGCUCUCGGGCCCGAGUUGUAAUUUGUAGAGGAUACUUUUGAUGCGGUGCCUUCCGAGUUCCCUGGAACGGGACGCCAUAGAGGGUGAGAGCCCCGUCUGGUUGGAUGCCAAAUCUCUGUAAAGUUCCUUCAACGAGUCGAGUAGUUUGGGAAUGCUGCUCUAAAUGGGAGGUAUAUGUCUUCUAAAGCUAAAUACCGGCCAGAGACCGAUAGCGCACAAGUAGAGUGAUCGAAAGAUGAAAAGCACUUUGAAAAGAGAGUUAAAAAGUACGUGAAAUUGUUGAAAGGGAAGCGUUUAUGACCAGACUUGGGCUUGGUUAAUCAUCUGGGGUUCUCCCCAGUGCACUUUUCCAGUCCAGGCCAGCAUCAGUUUUCCCCGGGGGAUAAAGGCGGCGGGAAUGUGGCUCUCUUCGGGGAGUGUUAUAGCCCACCGUGUAAUACCCUGGGGGGGACUGAGGUUCGCGCAUCUGCAAGGAUGCUGGCGUAAUGGUCAUCAACGACCCGUCUUGACCCAAGGGGACCACCACCA